GUCAGGAUGGCCGAGUGGUCUAAGGCGCCAGACUCAAGCUUUGACUUCCCAGGUUCGGGACUUCUGGUCUCCGGAUGGAGGCGUGGGUUCGAAUCCCACUUCUGACA
rnacentral:tRNA from 1 species